rnacentral:lncRNA from 7 species
AGUCUGGAGAAGAGAAGGCUUCAAGGAGACUUUAUAGUAGUCUUCCAGCACCUGAAGGGGGCCUACAGGAAAGCUGAAGAGGGACUUUUUAUAAGGGCAGACAGUCACAGGACAAGGGAAAAUGGCUUUAAACUGGUGCAUCUACCUGCAGCAGCUUUGUAUUCUCCAUGGGCUACACUUGGACAACCUGCUACACCAUGAGCUUCUCCAGUACAGAUGAACUUAAAUCAAGCCAGGCUUGAGGAUUCUGAAGUGACAACAUAUGGCUAGAAGCAAUUUUCUUCUUGAAUUUCUCUCUCAGCUUGAAAGAAGUCAGUCGUACUUUGUACUGCAAGAGGAAACUUUUUUUUUCAAGACUUCCAGCCUAAGAAGGGCUAACAACUCUUAAAUAAAAUAGAAAAUAUGAACACCUUAUUACAGUCCCAAUUAAAAUAAAUAAAUAAAUAAAUAAAUAUAAUAAUAAAUAGACAGUUGGUUCCAAUCAUACAAAAUGACCUAAGAGUGUAUCUACAACCUUAGGGAGUCAAAUUCACAGUUUGUUUUUCUUGCAGAGGAGAGCCCUAAAUACCAGGCAGUGCAUCUGAGAAUAGUGUGGAGCAAUCACUUAAUGCAACCACAUGAGGUUAGGCCAAAAGAUAAUUGGUGAUCCAGACAUUAUAAAGAAAAAAUCAACUCUGUCUCAACUGACACCAAAACAGCAUCGUACCAAUAAUAUUUUGAAUACGUAUAUAUAAAUGUAUAUAUAUGUAUUCAUGCAUAUCAAUGAUAAUAAUAUUUAAUGCAUGCUGGUAUUGGUAAUUUUGUACUGGUAAUUUUAUGGUAACUUGAAAUAUUAAAAUAUAAACUUCCUGCUAAUAUAGAUUAUUAUUGCUAUUGAAAUCUUACUCUUGCUUUUCUGAUGGUAAUGUAGUAACUUGCAGGCCUUUUGGGUCAUUACACUAUCACAAGACUUGCUGAAGUCCUCUUUUCUUCUCAGGGAUUUUCCUUAGCAUCCAAAUUGCACAAAAUGUUGCACCAAUGUUAUUGUAUUUCUGUGGAUUGCUAGAAGAGUUCAAGUCAAUCAACUUGCUCAAGUCAAGUCAAUUUACCUGCUAUUUACAAGUAGCGAGGGAAUGGUGAUAGUUGUGGUGGUCAAAAGCUGUCUUGGGCAUAGUGACCACAAAAUGAUUGAGUUCUCUAUUCUUGGUGAAGUAAAAUGUUAGUGAGUUUACUAUAAAGUUUUUUAACCUUUCUUUUCAUUAUAUACACUAAUUACAGUAAGUGUCGUGUCAAGGAAGAUUUUGAGCUGAAAUUGUACAAACUUAACCACACAUUCUCACAUCUGUUCUUGACUUGAAACUUUUCUAAUUCAUUAUAGAAAAUUGUAAAAGCUAAAGAUCUUUUCACUGAGAGGCAUUUCU